GAGGUGAACUUCUUUGGAUUCCACAUAUGAUCAAGAUCAUGAGGGGUGAUGAACAUGAUCUAGAAUUGAUUGUGGUGUUCUUACACAUCUCUGUGAACAUACUAAACACCACUGAAUGGUACACUUCAAGUGGGUGAAUUGUAUGGAAGGAGGAGCAAGUCUUCUUUGUCAUGCUAUUAAGAAAAUACCCAGAGUCACAGCACCAUGAUCUCCUUGUGAAGCAGAACAAGUAAUAUAAAACUGAUCUAAAGAGGCCUCCCCUCUACUCUUAU
rnacentral:lncRNA from 10 species